rnacentral:rRNA from 1 species
GAAAGUAAGCAAGGGCAGACGGUGGAUGCCUUGGCUCUCGGAGGCGAUGAAGGACGUGAUAAGCUGCGAUAAGCUGGGGGGAGAUGCAAAUAAUCUUUGAUCCUCGGAUUUCCGAAUGGGGCAACCCGGCAGAUUGAAGAUCUGUCACCUCGUAAGAGGAGCGAACGUGGGGAACUGAAACAUCUAAGUACCCAUAGGAGAAGAAAAUAAAAAUGAUUCCGCAAGUAGUGGCGAGCGAACGCGGAAGAGCCCAAACCGAUAUUGUUUAGGCAAUAUCGGGGUUGUAGGACUACGGUAUAGCAAGAAAUUAGUAAAGUGGAACGUUUUGGAAAGAACGGCCAUAGACGGUGAAAGCCCGGUACACGACUUACUGACGAAGCUUAGUAGUAUCCUGAGUAGCGCGGGGCACGAGAAAUCCUGUGUGAAUUAGCGGGGCCCAUCCCGUAAGGCUAAAUACUCCCGAGAGACCGAUAGCGAACCAGUACCGUGAGGGAAAGGUGAAAAGAACCUCGAAUAGAGGAGUGAAAUAGACCCUGAACCCGUCUGCCUACAAGCGGUCGGAGCACUUUCGAGUGUGACGGCGUGCCUUUUGCAUAAUGAACCUACGAGUUACUUUCUCCGGCAAGGUUAAGUGAUUCAGUCACGGAGCCGAAGCGAAAGCGAGUCUGAACAGGGCGCCAUAGUCGGAGGGAGUAGACGCGAAACCAAGUGAUCUACCCAUGGUCAGGUUGAAGGUUAGGUAACACUAACUGGAGGACCGAACCGGUAAGCGUUGAAAAGCUUUCGGAUGAACUGUGGGUAGGGGUGAAAGGCUAAUCAAACUUGGAGAUAGCUCGUACUCCCCGAAAUGCAUUUAGGUGCAGCCUAGGGUUAGUAUAAUAUGAGGUAGAGCGACUGAUUGGAUGCGAGGGCUUCACCGCCUAUCAAGUCCAGAUAAACUCCGAAUGCGUAUUAUAUAUUGCCCUGGAGUGAGGGCGCGGGUGCUAAGGUCCGCGUCCGAGAGGAGAAGAAUCCAGACCAUCAGCUAAGGUCCCCAAAUAACAGUUAAGUUGAACUAACGAAGUCAGACUGCAGAGACAGCUAGGAUGUUGGCUUGGAAGCAGCCAUUCAUUUAAAGAGUGCGUAACAGCUCACUAGUCGAGGAGUUUGGCGUGGAUAAUACUCGGGCAUAAACUGUUUACCGAAGCUAUGGAUCUCGUAAGAGAUGGUAGGGGAGCAUUCUAUGUACGUUGAAGGUGAGGGAUAACCCUUGCUGGAGUGUAUAGAAAAGCAAAUGUAGGUAUAAGUAACGAUAAAGGAAGUGAGAAACUUCCUCGCCGAAAGACUAAGGUUUCCUGAUCAACGUUAAUCGGAUCAGGGUAAGUCGGGACCUAAGGAUAAGCCGAACGGCGAUUCCGAUGGAAGAAUGGUUUAAUAUUCCCAUACUACUUUAUAGAGCGAUGUGGAGACGGAGAAGUGACAGUCCUGCCAACUGACGGAAUAGUUGGUUAAAGGGUGUAGACGUUGAUCGCGGUAGGCAAAUCCGCCGUGAGAGUCGAACCUGAGAGUAUACCGAGUACUUGUACAAGGUAAUAUGGACGUAAUCAUGCUCCCUAGAAAAUCCGCUAAGCAUAUUUAUAAAGUACCCGUACCGUAAACGGACACACGUAGUUGGGUUGAGAAUACUGAGGCGCUCGAGUGAUUCACGGUUAAGGAACUAGGCAAAUUGACCCUGUAACUUCGGGAUAAAGGGUCCCACUGUAACAGGUGGGCGCAGAGAAUAGGUCCAGGCAACUGUUUAACAAAAACACAUGGCUGUGCGAAAUAGAAAUAUGAAGUAUACAGCCUGACACCUGCCCGGUGCUGGAAGGUUAAGAGGAGAGCUCAUCGCAAGAGAAGGUUUGAAUUGAAGCCCCAGUAAACGGCGGCCGUAACUAUAACGGUCCUAAGGUAGCGAAAUUCCUUGUCGGGUAAGUUC